rnacentral:rRNA from 1 species
AGAGUUUGAUCAUGGCUCAGAUUGAACGCUGGCGGCAGGCCUAACACAUGCAAGUCGAGCGGUAGCACAGAGAGCUUGCUCUCGGGUGACGAGCGGCGGACGGGUGAGUAAUGUCUGGGAAACUGCCUGAUGGAGGGGGAUAACUACUGGAAACGGUAGCUAAUACCGCAUAACGUCGCAAGACCAAAGUGGGGGACCUUCGGGCCUCAUGCCAUCAGAUGUGCCCAGAUGGGAUUAGCUAGUAGGUGGGGUAACGGCUCACCUAGGCGACGAUCCCUAGCUGGUCUGAGAGGAUGACCAGCCACACUGGAACUGAGACACGGUCCAGACUCCUACGGGAGGCAGCAGUGGGGAAUAUUGCACAAUGGGCGCAAGCCUGAUGCAGCCAUGCCGCGUGUGUGAAGAAGGCCUUCGGGUUGUAAAGCACUUUCAGCGGGGAGGAAGGCGGUGAGGUUAAUAACCUCAUCGAUUGACGUUACCCGCAGAAGAAGCACCGGCUAACUCCGUGCCAGCAGCCGCGGUAAUACGGAGGGUGCAAGCGUUAAUCGGAAUUACUGGGCGUAAAGCGCACGCAGGCGGUCUGUCAAGUCGGAUGUGAAAUCCCCGGGCUCAACCUGGGAACUGCAUUCGAAACUGGCAGGCUAGAGUCUUGUAGAGGGGGGUAGAAUUCCAGGUGUAGCGGUGAAAUGCGUAGAGAUCUGGAGGAAUACCGGUGGCGAAGGCGGCCCCCUGGACAAAGACUGACGCUCAGGUGCGAAAGCGUGGGGAGCAAACAGGAUUAGAUACCAUGGUAGUCCACGCUGUAAACGAUGUCGAUUUGGAGGUUGUGCCCUUGAGGCGUGGCUUCCGGAGCUAACGCGUUAAAUCGACCGCCUGGGGAGUACGGCCGCAAGGUUAAAACUCAAAUGAAU